UUUAAUUGACAAGCACAUCAAUCUUGUAAGAAUUACUUCUUAUUUUGCUAUUUGUUAUUCUCUUUGAGAGGGUUGAGUCUUAAGGUUUGAGUAGAAACCUUAAGAGAGUUGCAAUCUUAAGAUUUUGGGUAGAAAUCUUAAGGGAGAUUGUAAGCUUAAACCUUGUCCUCAAAGGUUGUCAAAUUAGUGAAUUUUGGAAAAUUCUUAGUUGUGGAAAGCUAAGGUAGCGGAGUAGGAAAUUGUGACUGAGCCACUAUAAAUUGUUGUGUUCAUUGUUG
rnacentral:lncRNA from 1 species